rnacentral:tmRNA from 1 species
GGGGCUGAUUUUGGAUUCGACGGGAUUGGCGAAACCCAAGGUGCAUGCCGAGGUGCGGUAGGCCUCGUUAACAAACCGCAAAAAAUAGUCGCAAACGACGAAAACUACGCACUAGCAGCUUAAUAACCUGCAUAGAGCCCUCUCUCCCUAGCCUCCGCUCGUAGGACGGGGGGAUCAAGAGAGGUCAAACCAAAACGAGAUCGCGUGGAAGCCUUGCCCGGGGCGGAAGCGUUAAAUCUAAUCGGGAUAGUCUAUCAGUGGCGUGUCUGUCCGCAGCUGGUCGGCGAAUGUAAAGACUAGACUAAGCAUGUAGUACCGACGGCGUAGUAAUUUCGGACGCGGGUUCAACUCCCGCCAGCUCCACCA